AAAAACAUUUCUUAUAUCCUUUUUAUAAGUAUAAUCUGCUCCAUGAUCAAUAAAUAGCCGCAGAAUUUUAACUGUGCUAAGGUAGCAUAAUCAUUUACCUUUUAAUUAAAGGUUUGCAUGAACGAUUUUACAAUUAAAUUACUUUUUUAUAAAUUCUUAUCUAACUUAAACUAAAAAUAAAAAUGUUUUUAUAAUAAAAAAAGACGAUAAGACCCUAUUGAACUUAACCCAUGUUAAGCUGGGGAAGCUGAUUAAAUAUAAUUUUAAUUAAAAAUUCCAAAUAAACCCCUAAUAAAAUUAUUUUGAACAAGUUACCAUAGGGAUAACAGCGUAAUAUAAUUUUAAAGCUCAUAUUAAAAAUUAAGUUUACGACCUCGA
rnacentral:rRNA from 1 species